rnacentral:rRNA from 1 species
GAUGAACGCUGGCGGCGUGCCUAAUACAUGCAAGUCGAGCGAACAGAUGAGGCGCUUGCUCCUCUGACGUUAGCGGCGGACGGGUGAGUAACACGUGGAUAACCUACCUAUAAUACUGGUAUAACUUCGGGAAACCGGAGCUAAUACCGGAUAAUAUCUUGAUCCGCAUGGUUCAAUAGUGAAAGACGGUUUUGCUGUCACUUCUAGAUGGAUCCGCGCCGCAUUAGCUAGUUGGUACGUUAACGGCUUACCACGGCAACGAUGCGUAGACGACCUGAGAGAGGGAUAGGCCACACUGGAACUGAGACACGGUCCAGACUACUAAGGGAGGCAGCAGUAGGGAAUCUUCCGCAAUGGGCGAAAGCUUGACGGAGCAACGCCGCGUGAGUGAUGAAGGUCUUCGGAUCGUAAAACUCUGUUAUGAGGGAAGAACAAAUGUGUAAGUAACUAUGCACGUCUUGACGGUACCUAAUCAGAAAGCCACGGCUAACUACGUG